AUUGAACGCUGGCGGCAUGCUUUACACAUGCAAGUCGAACGGUAACAGGCCGCAAGGUGCUGACGAGUGGCGAACGGGUGAGUAAUGCAUUGGAACGUGCCCAGUCGUGGGGGAUAACGCAGCGAAAGCUGUGCUAAUACCGCAUACGAUCUAUGGAUGAAAGCGGGGGACCGUAAGGCCUCGCGCGAUUGGAGCGGCCGAUGUCAGAUUAGGUAGUUGGGGGGGUAAAGGCUCACCAAGCCAACGAUCUGUAGCUGGUCUGAGAGGACGACCAGCCACACUGGGAGUGAGACACAGCCCAGACUCCUACGGGAGGCAGCAGUGGGGAAUUUUGGACAAUGGGCGCAAGCCUGAUCCAGCAAUGCCGCGUGCAGGAAGAAAGCCUUCGGGUUGUAAACUGCUUUUGUACGGAACGAAACGGCGAGCUCUAAUACAGUUUGCCAAUGACGGUACCGUAAGAAUAAGCACCGGCUAACUACGUGCCAGCAGCCGCGGUAAAAC
rnacentral:rRNA from 1 species